rnacentral:rRNA from 1 species
AUAUUAAUAAGCGGAGGAAAAGAAACUAACAAGGAUUCCCUUAGUAACGGCGAGUGAAGUGGGAAAAGCCCAGCACCGAAUCCCCCGUCGCAUUCUACGGUGGGAACUGUGGUGUUAAGGACAGCCUACGGGGAUCGAUCGGGGACCCGAGUCCUCCUGAUCGGGGCUUCACCCAGAGCGGGUGUCAGGCCUCUACGGCUCCCGGUUGGUUCUCAAUGGUCGUCCUAGGAGUCGGGUUGUUUGAGAUUGCAGCCCAAAGCGGGUGGUAAACUCCACCUAAGGCUAAAUACAGACACGAGACCGAUAGCGCACAAGUA